rnacentral:lncRNA from 1 species
GGCCGAGGCGAGGGGGAGGGAGGUGGCGUGCUGGGCCGGGAACGAUCUGGGCCGCGGGGAUGGAAGCUGGCCAGGGGAGAGGAAGAGGUUGGCGCGGGGCUGGGAGGAUGGGGUGGGCCUUCGACCAGAAUAGAGAGAGGGGCAGGUUUCCCUUUUUCCCUUUUUUUUCCUUUUGUUUUCUUUUAUUUCAAAGCCAUUUCAAAAACAAGUUUGAAAAUCAUUUUAAAAUCAGUUUGACUUACCUUUAAUUAAAUCCACACAAUACAAUGAAAAUAAUGCCCCAAUAUGAAUGCACAACAAGUUGCUAAAUUCUAUGAUAAGUUUUAUUUUAAUGAAAAAUAUUAUUUUUCCUAUAUUUUCAUGAGCACAAAAAUACAAAAUUAAAUCAUUUUUCACCUAUUUCAAAAGUUGUAAAAUUUUGGGUGUUACAAAUCUACCCCCCUUAAAAUGAAUCUCGUCCGCGAGAUUCGAAAGAGACACGGAUUCCAAAGGGAAACAAGAACAAGGUCUUGGUAUCUAUUUCAACUUCACGACUUGUAUUCCAAAGUAAAAACUUAUGUCUCGGGAUCACAACUUGUAAACAAAACAUCCAUAAAAUGUCUAUUAUUCAUAGCUGAUUAAAAUUCAUCUUGACUACCCACUUUUUGACUUAUACAACUCAAAGACAUGAUAACUUAGCAUGGGUAUGCCUCCUCAGGUAGGAGUGGACCACCUUGAUACUCAAUUCUUUUCCUUGAUGGUGCAGUUAAGAAAAUUUUUCACUGGGUAGCAUAGAUCACUGCCUUGUGUGCACAUAACCAUUCAUUGCCAAGAACCAAAGGAAUAUUGAGUGACUCUAGCACAAUGAGGUUUACAGUGAAGUUUUCCUUCUUUAUGACAAGAUUGAUUUUGAGCAAACCUGAUCUGCAUGUAUUUCUCCCAUUGGGGUUUGAACUAAUAAAGGCUUUCUCGUCGGACACUUCACCCAUUCGAUUAUCUUUACCAGGUUGGCGGAUAUGAAAGAAUGUGAAGCACUUCGGUCAAACAGAGCAAAAACUAGCACUGAGUCCACUUGAAUAUAGCCUCCCACCACUUUGGUGGCUCCUUGAAUGUUAUGCCUAUCCACAUUGUUCAGUCUUCCAUUUAUAUAAUUUCACUGUACUUUAUUUCCGAGAGCAGGCUUCUUACGAGCUUUCCUUUUACGCUUCCGUCGUUGUGGAUUUUGAUUUGAUUCAUUGUCAACUUGCUCUUCCAUAUUAUUAUUUUGAUAACACUCAGCUUUGUCAUACUCAUAGCAUCUUUCUUCAAAAUCAAGAUGAUCAUAUUCUUCCCACCUAUCCAUGAGAGGCGUCAUAUUAUGCUCCGAAUCCAUGGGACACUACGCUCCCUGUCAUCAAGUGACCAGCGUCAGUAACAUGGCAUGGGUAGAUGAUCAUAAUCAGAGAAUACCCAAGACGACAAUUAUCACUUCAAGAUAGUUUAAAUAUGCAUCAUCCAGUGAUAUCAAGGUACCACCCCCCUUAAAAUUAGAUUGAUUGGGGAGACAUUAGGGACUAGUCCUCAUAACCUUUUUAAAUGCUACACAUCAUAUAGUCUUUAAAAUUCGCUGUACCGAGUCUCUUGAUCCAACAUUAUCCAAUUCUUCUCCAUGUAACCCCUUUAUUUGGGCUACCCCCCUUAGUAAAAGUCAUCUAGGGGGCACAGGAAAGGUAGCUUGCAUGUUUUCCCGGCAGGUUAACUAACAUUGAGAACCUCUGGCAUCCCAAAGAACUUAUGUGUAAGGGGAGAACAAACAGGUAUCCUGAAUUUUUCUCAUGAUAUGAAAACACCAGCGUAGAAAAAUACAUAUAACUCUUAUUCUGUCAAUCCAACAGAGUUAUAGCUUAUACCGUUAGAAAACUUAUGAAAUUCUCUACCACUUUCAUGUAGAAGACCUCCUUAGAUUCUGUCUUUAAGCUUAGGUAAAACAACCAAACAUAAUCUCCUUCCUGAUAAUGUCUCAGCAAAGGUGCAGUAACUUCCAGAAGUUAUAUCCCAAGCUACUUAACUCAUCUGGAGAUGAUCCUUACGUUUUUGAAAAGCUUAGGAAAUCCUCUACAACUUUCGUAUACAACAUUUUCCCAGAUUCUGAAGUUAAUUUGGCUGAAAUUAGAAAAAUGCCUGAUCUGUCUAAAUUUUGAAACAGAACAGAAACAUCCAAUUGUAAAUAUCAUAUCUCAGGUUGUACUUAUCCAAAUAAGUUCCAGCUUAUACCGUUCAAAAGAAUAGAAAAUUGUCUACAACUUUUCUAUAGGCUACUUUUCCAAAUUCUAUAGUUAUAUAUGUCUAAAACAGUAAGCAACCAAAACUGGUACAGAUUCUUGACAGCGCAGCUGCAUCAAAUUGUGAUUUUCAUAACUCCAAUUCCAAAAUAGAUAUGGGGGUCAAUCUUGAGGUCAAAGAAAGAUCUUGGAAUCUAGUUGGUCCCAGAAAAAGUUGAUAAAUUUUUCACGAUCAGAACUUGAGAUAUACCUAUAUUAUUGCUAACUGCUCCAGAAGUCAGCAAGGGACAGAAACAGGAUAUAACCAAACACAACUACUUAUGUCAUUACUCCUUAUGCCUUAGUUCUAUAAACUAAAUGAAAUUGUGAAGAAUUCACAAAAUCAUUACACUCAUUACAAAGAUCCAAAUCAAAUAUAAACAUAAUAACAAGCAAUUAAGCAUUAAAGGUUCACAAGGCACACAAACUCAACCUUCGCUACUAGCGUUUUUAUUACACCAGGGGACACGGACACCUAUAUCUUAGACUUAGUGUGGUUACCUUCAUGAUGCAUCUGUUGCUUCUUUUGUGGACAAGAGCUUAUAUAAUGUCCUUCUUGUUGGCAGUGAUAACACCUUCUCUUAGCUGGAUCCUUUGUGAUGUUAUUUUCCACUGAAGUGUUGUUCGGUGUGUUAUCAACUUGCAUACUCUGAUGGUUUAUCUUUGCCUGGUUAGAUUUCUUUCUACAUUGCUUGAUCCUCCGAGGUUGAAAUUCUCUAUAAUUAAUUCUCCACCCAUCUAUGCAUACCUCAUGAGCAGUGGGGUUAGCUUGAGAAGUUUCUUUAUCACCAAGGUUUGAAUUUUCCCGAGAAGAAUUCGAAGCUACAUGUGACAUCUUAGGAUUUGGGUGUUGAUCACUUCCCAAUGUUGGAUCUAGUGCUUUUGCCUUCCUCUUCUUAUCCUCAUUAGUCACACAAGUUGGUUUUGUCUUAACUUCCUUUUUAUAUGACAUAUUCCGAAGACAAGGAAGACCAUAAUGCUCACAACAGUGGCAUUGAUCCUGAUAUCCUGAUGUAUUACUCCCAACGCUUCCAUGAUUUCUCAUAUUUUUCCAAGCUUCUGCUACUUGUCUCCUCACGGGUCCUGAGAUACGUUGUUGAGAGUUCUUAUUCUGAGUUAUUCCUUCCACUACUUGUGUUUGCAUGGCUAGAAGCUUCUCCAUGUCGAAUGCUUUUACGGUUGGCAAAUCUGGGUGCUUUUGUUCUUUCUUGUCAAAGGUCUCCUCGUUAUGAUCCAUCUAAAGAAACAAAGAGAGAGGAUUUAGAAUAGAGACAAGAUUUUAUAAAAGAACUGUGCAAGAGGUAAGCAUAAAUUUUAGCAACUAUCAAGGUCAAGGCGAAAGCAAGAGGUAAACAAAGAUAGAAGCAUGCUAAAACGUCCAGUUCUAACUAGGCUUGCGUCCUACAGUCAGCAUUGCUUUGAUACCACUUUGUAAUACCCGAUUUUAAGGACAAAACCAGAUAUGCACCAUAUGUGAGUUUUAGAAGGCAAAUCUCACCUAUAGCUACAAAUAAAGGGGUAAUAUCAAAAGACAAUGCAUAAAUAUAUAACAUACUUAAUAUAAAAGAGAUAACCUUUGAUAACAAACAGCGGAUAGACAACUCCAACUUCGGGUAUUUACUCCACUCUACAGGAUCCAACUGACUGGUUGAUCACAAGCCUAAACCAUCUCCUGAGGUGUGGGGGAAAUAGCAAGAGUGAGUCCAUGUCGAACUCAACAAGUAUAGCAACUAGAUUGUAUAGAUCCCACAAUCUCAUGAUCAAUGUGACAUAAAUAAUGUAAAGCAUUAAAUAAUAAAUAAUGGGAAUAUUUAACACACAAGAAUCAUCAUCGUCGAUGCAAGAAUCCCCAAGGCCGCUCCUGACCGUGAGCUCAGCUAGUAUACUAGUUUUUAACCCUCUACAGAGGUUGCACAUCUUUACCCAUGAGUCAUGAUUUACCCUUUCGCCCGAGGUAGCUAGUCUCUUAACCCCCUUCCAAGGGAGGUCGGCAGGGAUCACUAUGAAGUCUUUCAAAGGUUCGUCUAACAAGUUAGGGCCGCUUGGUUUCAUUAGUCAAUUCGUGUGAUUCACCCGCAGGAAUCCACGGUCUGCUAUUCCCCAAUUGCGCCACAACAGGUAACCGCUAACGAGCUAGAAAAGUUACUCAUACUUAAUUAAAGCCAGAGCCAUUACAGCCCUCAUGGUUGCACUGUUGUCCCGGUUAUCACUUACAGAUAAAUCAUCAAGUGGCUAAAAAGUCAUUUUUAUCAUUUGUUGCGUAAACAUUAAUCAAGUCACAAGAUCAUGGUCACAGAAAUAAAAUCCAAUUGCUAUACUUGCCUUGAUCAAAGCUCUCCUAAGCCUGCUAAUCUUGCUAGUUGUCCAAGGCUCUGAUCUUGAUCACUGAAGCACUCUUGAUCACCACGAAUUGCUCACCGUCUAAACUCCGAUCAUCAAUCACACAAACAAUCGAAGGAAAACAUACACGGAGCAAACAAAACUACAAUUAGAACAGUACACCAAUCAUAUAAAAACAGUAUGAAAAGUUUAUAAAAUGACUCUACGCAUCGCUACGAUUUCAUAGACGUAAAGGUCACGAAAAUCGGAGUUGAAACAGAGAAGUUAUGAUUUUUCUAAGAUUUCCUAUAGAUAAAUAAUUAAUUAAAUAGUACCAGGAAAUUAAAAGUUUCAAAACAGCAAACUAAUACUUCUAACAUGUAGAGCUUGUAAAUACGAAUCUAACGAAAUUUGAAUGGGUCAAUUCGAAGUUAAAAUGGGCAUAUUAUAAGCAAUUUAAAUCUAAUGGCAAAAUUGUAAAUACUGGAAAGCGUAUUUUCUCCUACGCCGAUCGAGAAUACGUUUUCUGAAUUGAAAAGCGCAAACCGGAUAACACGCCAAGGGACGACGGGUUUUAUUAUCAAAAAGGGGAGGGACUCUUUAGCAAAUGUUACUCCGAAAGGGUAACUUCUAUUCUGGGCCACCGGAUCACGAUCGGACGGGCCAGAAACACCCAUGGGCUUUCGGCCGGCCGGUUAGCCAGAACAGGAGCUAGGCGGCGGCGCCAUUGUUGGGGCUCUCCGGAGCUCGUCGAUCCAAUGAUUUUGUGCACUAAACUGAGAAAUAAAACCAUUGAGAUGUGGAGGAGCUUACUACGAAACCGCCUAGGGACUUCACUUGGGCCGAGAGGGAGCAGGGAGCAUGCGCGACGGAGGCCGCUCGAUGCGAAGCUCGGCGAGAUCCGAAAGCGUCGAUGCUAGAGGCUAGGGCUUGGUUUUGUGACAUAGAUGGGAAACCGAGACGCGGGGAAAGGUUCCUAUUAUUUCAUACUCGCAGCAAAUCCCGCGAGAACCGGGCUCGAGCUCCACUCGGUGGCGGAGUCCGGAACGAGAACGCCUGGAGAAGAAAGGAAAGGAGGGAGGGAGACGCUGACAGGUAGCCCCAGAGUGCCAGAGAGAAAGAGAGAGAGGAGGAUGCGGGCUGGCUGGGCCACGGCUCCUAGCCGGUUGCGCAUGCGGGCCGAGGCGAGGGGGAGGGAGGUGGCGUGCUGGGCCGGGAACGAUCUGGGCCGUGGGGAAGGAAGCUGGCUAGGGGAGAGGAAGAGGUUGGCGCGGGGCUGGGAGGAUGGGGUGGGCCUUCGGCCAGAAUAGAGAGAGGGGCAGGUUUCCCUUUUUUUCUUUUUGUUUUCUUUUAUUUCAAAGCCAUUUCAAAAACAAGUUUGAAAAUCAUUUUAAAAUCAGUUUGACUUACCUUUAAUUAAAUCCACACAAUACAAUGAAAAUAAUGCCCCAAUAUGAAUGCACAACAAGUUGCUAAAUUCUAUGAUAUGUUUUAUUUUAAUGAAAAAUAUUAUUUUUCCUAUAUUUUCAUGAGCACAAAAAUACAAAAUUAAAUCAUUUUUCACCUAUUUCAAAAGUUGUAAAAUUUUGGGUGUUACACAAUUAUACUUGACAAUCAUUGCGAGACAGGACUACACCCAUGCAUAGUGAUAUUAUCAAGGAAUAUG